CCAGGCGUUGCGGCAAGUUACGGUGGGAACUUCUGUCCGUGCUGUGUGAUUGCGACGAGGACGACUGCCGCCAGCAGCGGCGUGUCGCCGAUUUCGUCUUUGCCGACAUCGAGCAAGUGCAGCGCCGGAAGUGUUGCGUUUUGCACUGCAUUUUCCUUGUGAUAUGGGAGAUCGCAACGCAGAGACGACCAGAUGCAUACGAAAGACUACCAGCGGAGAGUUACCUGUGCCAUAUUUCUCUUAACCUCUCAGGUAUUCAAGAAAUGGCAACAUCCAGAAGAAGACGCCAUCUUAUCCAGCACGUUAUGGGUACACUCUGGUGGCUCCCGCCCCUGCAUCCUACGACCACCGUGUCCUCACUAUGUUCACUAGGGAGUUCGAAGCCUUUGGCGGCUCCUGCCACUGCGUCCUGCCACCACCGUGUCCUGACUACGUCCACUAGGGAGUUGGCAGCCUUCGUGAUGAUGCCAAGCAGGCUGGAAGCUGACAGAACGAUCGAGGUUGCCUCGAAAUUUUACCCAAGCCGUGCCACACACUUGGGCCAGGCCUCUUGCAAACGACGUAUAACCAGGCUCAACGCAGGAUGUCGAGUGAGUCCGGAGAUCGAGGCAACCUGCUGUGCAACCAGCGUGCAACCUUUGGUGACCCUCAAAAUGUUCCACCUAUU